UACGUAGGGGCAAGCGUUAUCCGGAUUCAUUGGGCGUAAAGAGCGCGUAGGCGGACUGUUAAGUCAGAUGUGAAAACUGGGGGCUCAACCCGCAGCCUGCAUCUGAAACUGGCAGUCUUGAGUCUGGUAGAGGAAAGUGGAAUUCCCAGUGUAGCGGUGAAAUGCGCAGAUAUUGGGAGGAACACCAGUGGCGAAGGCGGCUUUCUGGGCCACGACUGACGCUGAGGCGCGAAAGCUAGGGGAGCGAACAGGAUUAGAUACCCGUGU
rnacentral:rRNA from 1 species